ensembl:lncRNA
UUUCUCUCAGCUGGAAGAGCAUGGUAUAAUCCCCACAUCCUUUCUACUAAUAUGGCUAGAGAAAUUUCCUAUGCUGUGUCAUCUUUUUCAGUCUCCACAAUGAAGACCCAGGUUUGUGUCAGGAUGAACAGAGGGCUUCAAAGCUCCGGACUCAAUUAGACACAAGUCUGAAUGAGACAAGAGCCUUAUUGAACCUGCCUCAGCUAGAAGCCUGUCCCCUCCAAGCCUGCUGGGAGACAGUACUCCAGCUCCUCCAUAGAAACCCAGAUGAGUGCCCAAGUACCUCUGUUCUGCAACACCAGGAAAAAUGAGUUGCUCCCAAUGUCUGAGCAGCGAGCGGCAAUAAAGGAUGAAUAAUCUGCCCA